rnacentral:rRNA from 1 species
UACGAAGGGUGCAAGCGUUAAUCGGAAUUACUGGGCGUAAAGCGUGCGUAGGCGGUUUGUUAAGUCUGCUGUGAAAUCCCCGGGCUCAACCUGGGAAUGGCAGUGGAUACUGGCAAGCUAGAGUGUGUCAGAGGAUGGUGGAAUUCCCGGUAUAGCGGUGAAAUGCGUAGAGAUCGGGAGGAACAUCAGUGGCGAAGGCGGCCAUCUGGGACAACACUGACGCUGAGGCACGAAAGCGUGGGGAGCAAACAGG